AGCAGUAGCCGCGGUAAUACAGAGGGUGCAAGCGUUAAUCGGAAUUACUGGGCGUAAAGCGCGCGUGGGUGGUUUGUUAAGUUGGAUGUGAAAUCCCCGGGCUCAACCUGGGAACUGCAUCCAAAACUGGCAGGCUAGAGUAGGGCAGAGGGUGGUGGAAUUUCCUGUGUAGCGGUGAAAUGCGUAGAUAUAGGAAGGAACACCAGUGGCGAAGGCGACCACCUGGGCUCAUACUGACACUGAGGUGCGAAAGCGUGGGGAGCAAACAGGAUUAGAUACCCGCGUAGUCCCUGUCUCUUAUAC
rnacentral:rRNA from 1 species